CACGUAGGGUGCGAGCGUUGUCCGGAAUUAUUGGGCGUAAAGAGCUCGUAGGCGGUGUGUCGCGUCGGCCGUGAAAACCUGCAGCUUAACUGUGGGCUUGCGGUCGAUACGGGCAUCACUGGAGUUCGGCAGAGGGUAGUGGAAUUCCCGGUGUAGCGGUGAAAUGCGUAGAGAUCGGGAGGAACACCAGUGGCGAAGGCGGCUACCUGGACCAGCACUGACACUGAGGCACGAAAGCGUGGGGAGCAAACAGG
rnacentral:rRNA from 1 species